AUGAACGCUGGCGGCGUGUCUAAGGCAUGCAAGUCGUGUGGACCUUCGGGUCCACGGCAGACGGGAGCGUAACACAUUGGUAACUUACCCCUAAGAGGGGGAUACCCCUCUGAAAAGAGGACUAAUACCCCAUGUGCUGUGAACUAAUAUUGGUACACAGUAAAGGGCAACCACUUAGGGAAAGGCCUAUGUCUUAUCAGCUAGUUGGUGGGGUAAUGGCUCACCAAGGCUAUGACGAGUACCGGGUGUGAGAGCACGGCCCGGCUCAAUGGGACUGAGACACUGCCCAUACUUCUACGGAAGGCUGCAGUUAAGAAUAUUCCACAAUGGCAGAAAGGCUGAUGGAGCGACGCCGCGUGCAGGAAGAAGCCCUUCGGGGUGUAAACUGCUUUUUUUAGGGAAGAACAAAUGACGGUACCUAAAGAAUAAGGGGCUGCUAACUUCGU
rnacentral:rRNA from 1 species